GCCGAGGUAGCUCAGUUGGUCAGAGCGCUACGCUCAUAACGUAGAAGUCGCGGGUUCAAGUCCCGUCCUCGGCA
rnacentral:tRNA from 1 species